rnacentral:misc_RNA from 1 species
GAUGAAGAACGUAGUGAAAUGCGAUAAGUAAUGUGAAUUGCAGAAUUCAGUGAAUCAUCGAAUCUUUGAACGCACAUUGCGCCCGCCAGCAUUCUGGCGGGCAUGCCUGUUCGAGCGUCAUUUCAACCCUCGCAGCCCAUCUGGGCAGCGGUGUUGGGGACCGGCACCACCGGCGAAGCCCUUAGGGACCCAGCCGGCGCCGCCCCCGAAAUACAGUGGCGGUCUCGCUGCAGCCUCCCUUGCGUAGUAGCACACCUCGCACCGGAGCGCAGCGCGGCCACGCCGUAAAACCCCCGACUUUCUGAGUUUGACCUCGAAUCAGGUAGGAAUACCCGCUGAACUUAAGCAUAUCAAUAAGCGGAGGA